rnacentral:sRNA from 1 species
AAGCUAGUAAGCUACCUACAUCUGAACCAGAAGCUGACGCUGAAAUAGAGCCCAAAGAGAGCAACGGCACAAAACUAGAAGAACCUAUUAAUGAAGAAACACCAUCCCAAGAUGAAGAGGAGGGUGUGUCUGAUGUGGAGAGUGAAAGGAGCCAAGAACAGCCAGAUAAAACAGUGGAUAUAAGUGAUUUGGCCACCAAACUCCUGGACAGUUGGAAAGACCUAAAGCUUCUCAGGGCAGCAAGGAGCUUGUUAACAUCACCAGCUGACCAUGUGUCUCCUUUUCUCAACUCCAUUUCCAACUUCGUGCUGAAGAAAAACGAGAACCUAGCGUGCAUUCUGUGAAGAAACAGGAAGAUGGUUGGGAAGUUGGAUGAUGCAUGAAAAAUAUAAUAGGUGAAAAGAGGACAGAGGUGGUUAACUCACUGGCGCCGGCGUUAUUUUGGUGCGUCCAUUGCCGACAAUGGAUGUCGUUCCGGGAAAAUCCCUACUCCUGGCGAGAAAGGAUUAAGAGGUAUAUCGAAUUCCAAAGAAAAGUCAAACUGAAAAGGAGAACACAACAACUGAACGAGGAAGAGAUGCUGUUGGCUUCAGAGAUCAAACACCUGCCCCGAAGACUCCUAAUAGGUCAAGAGAGAGAGACCCAGACAAGCAAACUCAAAAUAAAGAGAAAAGGAAACGAAGAAGCUCCCUCUCACCACCCUCUUCUGCCUAUGAGCGGGGAACAAAAAGGCCAGAUGACAGGUA